UUCAUCUCCCUCAUUCUUACCAUUACCAACAACCACCCAAAACCUAACUCUCCGGUGAGACCACAUAAGUUCCUCAUCCUUUCUCCCACGACGGCAGCAGAGAGGUCCUCGUCUUUUGUCCUCACUUUCAAGCUCAUAUCUCAUUUCCUCGUCGUCUAUAAAUCUAUUGUAAAGCAAGGCCGAUAAAGUGGUAGAUGAAGUGGCAAGAGAAUACGUUGGCAAGGCUUUGUUUUAUAGCCCAUGUUCUUCUUCUCCCUCCAAUGGGUCGCCAUAUGUGUCCCCUCCUUCCUAACGCUUCCAUCGACGUAUUCAUGAUAAUCUUUACAAACAACAAUUCGAAAUGGAUUUAGAGAAGGCUACAAAUGAGCUCGUGCUUUGUGUCCAACCUGAUGAAGCGAUUUAUCUCAAGAUUAAUAAUAAGAUUCCUGGUCUUGGAAUUAGAUUUAAUUGGAGUGAUCUUAAUUUUCUCUACAGGGCCAGUUAUAGAGAGGUAGAUCCAGGUGUAUGAGACAGAAACAUAGAAACGGGGUGAAGAUUUUCGAUAGUUUUCCAUUUGCGGUGAUGCUACUUCAUUUUGCGGUGGUGGUCCGGCGGCCAAAUGUUUACUUUAAGGGAAGUGGGUUUGGGUGAGGCGGAUGGAGAUCUGGAAGGGACAAUUGGGAUGGGGUGGGUAGGCAUGAUAUGUUUACUCUUUUUAAAAAUAAUAAUAAUAAUAAUAAUAACAUUAAAAUAAAUGGAAAACAAAUACACAAAGGACAUUAUGGUCAUU